rnacentral:rRNA from 1 species
AAUUUUGGACAAUGGGGGAAACCCUGAUCCAGCCAUCCCGCGUGUAUGAUGAAGGCCCUCGGGUUGUAAAGUACUUUUGGCAGAGAAGACAAGGUAUCUCUUAAUACGAGAUACUGCUGACGGUAUCUGCAGAAUAAGCACCGGCUAACUACGUGCCGGCAGCCGCGGUAAUGCGUAGGGUGCAAGCGUUAAUCGGAAGUACUGGGCGGAAAGCGUGUGUAGGCGGUUCGGAAAGAAAGAUGUGAAAUCCCAGGGCUCAACCUUGGAACUGCAUUUUUAACUGACGAGCUAGAGUAUGUCAGAGGGGGGUAGAAUUCCACGUGUAGCAGUGAAAUGCGUAGAUAUGUGGAGGAAUGCCGAUGGGGAAGGCAGCCCCCUGGGAUAAUACUGACGCUCAGACACGAAAGCGUGGGGAGCAAACA